rnacentral:lncRNA from 1 species
UUAUUUAUUUAUGGCUUGAAACAGCUUUUAACAUCUAGUACAAUUACAUAGAUCUCACAACUUUAAUGCCUUUAAUAUGACAAAAAGAUUGAACACUGAAUUAUUAGGUUAUCUUUGACUUUUCCACUCUCCGUUAAGCCCCUAUCCUGUAAAUUAAGCUCCUAAGGAAAUCAUGUAUUAUGAGGAUCGUAUAAAAGUAGUCGUAUCACACGUAUGCUUUAAUGUAAAGCAAUUAUACUGAAUAUUCCAAAUGAAUACAAACAUUUACGAAAUCGAAUUGAUCCCCAUUUUCCUUGGGCCAGCAACAGUCAGUACAAAGAGUAGUCUGUGUUGCAAUUCGCUCGACGUAGUUCUUGCUGUAAUUUAUGGUGCCUCAACAUUGCCUUAUAGUCCAACUUUAGAAUGUCUUGCCUUUAAUAUGUACCGUUUCUUUCACCAACAGCAUCUCAUUUC